rnacentral:rRNA from 1 species
AUUGAACGCUGGCGGCAGGCCUAACACAUGCAAGUCGAGCGAGCGGCGGACGGGUGAGUAAUGUAUGGGGACUGCCCGAUAGAGGGGGGUAACUACUGGAAACGGUGGCUAAUACCGCAUACUGUUGGAUAACCCAUAUGGGAUUAGCUAGUAGGUAAGGUAAUGGCUUAACUAGGCGACGCUCCCUAUCUGGGCGGAGAGGAUGAUCAACCACACUGGGACUGAGACACGGCCCAGACUCCUACGGAGGCAGCAGUGGGGAAUAUUGCACAAUGGGCGCAAGCCUGAUGCAGCCAUGCCGCGUGUAGGAAGAAGGCCCUAGGGUUGUAAAGUACUUUCAGUCGGGAGGCGUUACCGACAGAAGAAGCACCGGCUAACUCCGUGCCAGCAGCCGCGGUAAUAC